UACGGAGGGAGCUAGCGUUGUUCGGAAUUACUGGGCGUAAAGCGCGCGUAGGCGGCUUUGUAAGUUAGAGGUGAAAGCCCGGAGCUCAACUCCGGAACUGCCUUUAAAACUGCAUCGCUUGAAUCCAGGAGAGGUGAGUGGAAUUCCGAGUGUAGAGGUGAAAUUCGUAAAUAUUCGGAAGAACACCAGUGGCGAAGGCGGCUCACUGGACUGGUAUUGACGCUGAGGUGCGAAAGCGUGGGGAGCAAACGGG
rnacentral:rRNA from 1 species